GUGGUUUGGAGGACGGUUGGGUGUGUGUUUGGCACAUCGUUGUGUCCAAACAACCUUUGGCAGUACUUCUCCUGGUGUUACAUUUUCCUUCCUAAUGGGGCUAAAUUUUAUACGUUUGGUUUGACAGCUAUAUGAUGGGCAAUUUGGAUCAGUUGCAAUCAGGCUACCUUUGAGCACAAAUCUCUUAAAAGUCCUUUUAAUGUGGUGUAUGCUUCUUGUGGCUUUUUGACAUACUGGGCAGGUUUGAUGGCUGGUGAGGAGCGGGAGUCCAUGAAGCGUGGAGCCAAGAUGCUGAGGUCAAAUGCUUCGACGAUGAUGAGGAUUUGUGCACCUCCGUCAACGACGAAUUGA
rnacentral:rRNA from 1 species